rnacentral:rRNA from 1 species
AUUGAACGCUGGCGGCAGGCCUAACACAUGCAAGUCGAACGGAGUGGCGGACGGGUGCGUAAUGUCUGGGAAACUGCCCGAUGGAGGGGGAUAACGUCGGGAAACGGGCGCUAAUACCGCAUACUAUCAGAGCAGCCUAGGUCGGAUUAGCUAGGUGGUGGGGUAAAGGCCUACCAAGGCGACGAUCCGUAACUGGUCUGAGAGGACGAUCAGUCACCUUGGAACUGAGACACGGUCCAGACUCCUACGGGCGGCAGCAGUGGGGAAUAUUGGACAAUGGGGGAAAGCCUGAUCCGGCCAUGCCGCGUGUGUGGAGAAGGUCUUCGGAUUGUAAAGCACUUUAAGUUGGGAGGCGUUACCCGCAGAAGAAGCACCGGCUAACUCCGUGCCAGCAGCCGCGGUAAUAC